rnacentral:rRNA from 1 species
CGCGAACGCACCUUCGGGUGUUAUUAGAGUGGCGGACGGGUGAGUAACACGUGGGAACAUGCCUUUCGGUACGGAACAACGCUUGGAAACGAGUGCUAAUACCGUAUACGCCCUUCGGGGGAAAGAUUUAUCGCCGAAAGAUUGGCCCGCGCUAGAUUAGCUAGUUGGUAAGGUAAUGGCUUACCAAGGCGACGAUCUAUAGCUGGUUUGAGAGGAUGAUCAGCCACACUGGGACUGAGACACGGCCCAGACUCCUACGGGAGGCAGCAGUGGGGAAUAUUGGACAAUGGGGGCAACCCUGAUCCAGCGAUGCCGCGUGAGUGAUGAAGGCCUUAGGGUUGUAAAACUCUUUCAGAUGGGAUGAUAAUGACAGUACCAUCAGAAGAAGCUCCGGCUAACUCCGUGCCAGCAGCCGCGGUAAUACGGAGGGAGCUAGCGUUGUUCGGAAUUACUGGGCGUAAAGCGCGCGUAGGCGGCUUUGCAAGUAGGGGGUGAAAUCCCGGGGCUUAACCCCGGAACUGCCCUCUAAACUGCAGAGCUAGAAUCCUGGAGAGGUGAGUGGAAUUCCUAGUGUAGAGGUGAAAUUCGUAGAUAUUAGGAAGAACACCAGUGGCGAAGG